UACAGAGGGUGCGAGCGUUAAUCGGAAUUACUGGGCGUAAAGCGUGCGUAGACGGUUAUUUAAGUCGGGUGUGAAAGCCCCGGGCUCAACCUGGGAAUUGCAUUCGAGACUGAAUAGCUAGGGUACGGUAGAGGGAAGUGGAAUUUCCGGUGUAGCGGUGAAAAUGCGUAGAUAUCGGAAGGAACAUCAGUGGCGAAAGCGACUUCCUGGACCAGUACCGACGUUCAGGCACGAAAGCGUGGGGAGCAAACAGG
rnacentral:rRNA from 1 species